rnacentral:rRNA from 1 species
CCUACGGGUGGCAGCAGUAGGGAAUAUUGCUCAAUGGGGGAAACCCUGAAGCAGCAACGCCGCGUGGAGGAUGAGGGUUUUCGGAUUGUAAACUCCUUUUGUUAGAGAAGAACAUGACGGUAUCUAACGAAUAAGCACCGGCUAACUCCGUGCCAGCAGCCGCGGUAAUACGGAGGGUGCAAGCGUUACUCGGAAUCACUGGGCGUAAAGAGGUCGUAGGCGGGACAGAAAGUCAGAUGUGAAAGCCUAUGGCUUAACCUUAGAACUGCAUUUGAUACUGUUGUUCUAGAGUAUGGGAGAGGUAGGUGGAAUUCUUGGUGUAGCGGUAAAAUCCGUAGAGAUCAAGAGGAAUACUCAUGGCGAAGGCGACCUACUAGAACAUAACUGACGCUGAUGCGCGAAAGCGUGGGGAGCAAACAGGAUUAGAUACCCGUGUAGUC